rnacentral:rRNA from 1 species
UGUAUCGACCCGAGCCGUGCCGGAGCUAACGCGUUAAGUAUCCCGCCUGGGGAGUACGCACGCAAGUGUGAAACUCAAAGGAAUUGACGGGGGCCCGCACAAGCGGUGGAGUAUGUGGUUUAAUUCGAUGCAACGCGAAGAACCUUACCAAGACUUGACAUCCUGCGAAUCCCGGUGAAAGCUGGGAGUGCCUUAGGGAGCGCAGAGACAGGUGGUGCAUGGCUGUCGUCAGCUCGUGUCGUGAGAUGUUGGGUUAAGUCCCGCAACGAGCGCAACCCUCGUUUUUAGUUGCCAGCAUUAAGUUGGGCACUCUAGAGAGACUGCCGGUGACAAACCGGAGG